rnacentral:rRNA from 1 species
AUUGAACGCUGGCGGCAUGCCUUACACAUGCAAGUCGAACGGUAACAGGUCUUCGGAUGCUGACGAGUGGCGAACGGGUGAGUAAUACAUCGGAACGUGCCUAGUAGUGGGGGAUAACUACUCGAAAGAGUGGCUAAUACCGCAUGAGAUCUACGGAUGAAAGCAGGGGAUCGCAAGACCUUGUGCUACUAGAGCGGCCGAUGGCAGAUUAGGUAGUUGGUGAAAUAAAAGCUUACCAAGCCGACGAUCUGUAGCUGGUCUGAGAGGACGAUCAGCCACACUGGGAAUGAGACACGGCCCAGACUCCUACGGGAGGCAGCAGUGGGGAAUUUUGGACAAUGGGCGCAAGCCUGAUCCAGAAAUGCCGCGUGCAGGAUGAAGGCCUUCGGGUUGUAAACUGCUUUUGUACGGAACGAAAAGCCCUGGGUUAAUACCCUGGGGUCAUGACGGUACCGUAAGAAUAAGCACCGGCUAACUACGUGCCAGCAGCCGCGGUAA